GACAGAGGCCUCAAGCGUUAGGCGGAAUCACUGGGCUUAAAGCGUGUGUAGGCGGAUCGUUAAGUGUCUUGUGAAAUCCCACGGCUCACCCGUGGAACUGCUGGGCAUACUGGCGAUCUUGGGCCAACUAGGGGCAACUGGAACAAGCGGUGGAGCGGUGAAAUGCGUAGAUAUCGCUUGGAACGCCAAUGGUGAAAACAGCUCGCUGGGAAUGAUCUGACACUGAGACGCGAAAGCCAGGGGAGCGAACGGG
rnacentral:rRNA from 1 species